rnacentral:rRNA from 1 species
UGGGGAAUAUUGCACAAUGGGCGCAAGCCUGAUGCAGCCAUGCCGCGUGUGUGAAGAAGGCCUUCGGGUUGUAAAGCACUUUCAGCGGGGAGGAAGGCGAUAAGGUUAAUAACCUUGUCGAUUGACGUUACCCGCAGAAGAAGCACCGGCUAACUCCGUGCCAGCAGCCGCGGUAAUACGGAGGGUACAAGCGUUAAUCGGAAUUACUGGGCGUAAAGCGCACGCAGGCGGUUUGUUAAGUCAGAUGUGAAAUCCCCGGGCUCAACCUGGGAACUGCAUCUGAUACUGGCAAGCUUGAGUCUCGUAGAGGGGGGUAGAAUUCCAGGUGUAGCGGUGAAAUGCGUAGAGAUCUGGAGGAAUACCGGUGGCGAAGGCGGCCCCCUGGACGAAGACUGACGCUCAGGUGCGAAAGCGUGGGGAGCAAACAGG